GUCUACAGCCAUACCACCCUGAACGUGCCCGAUCUCGUCUGAUCUCGGAAGCUAAGCAGGGUCGGGCCUGGUUAGUACUUGGGUGGGAGACUAUUUGGGGAACAGGGGUUGUAGCUC
rnacentral:rRNA from 1 species